rnacentral:rRNA from 1 species
UACGUAGGGUGCAAGCGUUGUCCGGAAUUAUUGGGCGUAAAGAGCUCGUAGGCGGUCUGUCGCGUCGGCUGUGAAAACUCGGGGCUCAACCCCGAGCCUGCAGUCGAUACGGGCAGACUAGAGUGCGGUAGGGGAGACUGGAAUUCCUGGUGUAGCGGUGAAAUGCGCAGAUAUCAGGAGGAACACCGGUGGCGAAGGCGGGUCUCUGGGCCGAUACUGACACUGAGGAGCGAAAGCGUGGGGAGCGAACAGG